GGUUUGAACCAAUCCCUUGCCAAAAGAACGUUCGCCAAUUACAACAGCUCUAUCAAGGUCUUGUAGUGCUCCUGAAACAAUUUCUGCUGCAGAGGCAGAGGAGCGAUCAAUUAAAAUGGCUAAUGGCAUAUCUGGUGCAAUAGGAUUUUUAGUUGCAAAAUACUCUUUAUCCCAUUGCUUAAGCUUUCCUUUUGUAUAAACAACUUUUGAAUUUUUAGGGACGAAAAAAUUAACAAUGUCUACUGCUUGAUCUAGUAAACCACCUGAAUUCCCACGC
rnacentral:ncRNA from 1 species